GCACUCUGCCGUCUAGGAAGCCGAAGGACGGGCCUGGUGCUCCUGACCCAUACAGACCAGGGCCUCCCUCUGUGGGGUCUGGACGCCGCCCCAGCCUCCUCCUCCUCCCCCUCCACCUCCUCCUCUCCGGCGGCCCAGCUGGGGGGUCUGGCCCCCACGACCGGAACACCCUCUGCUUUGGCGGCGGCUGCUAAUACUGGCCCAGCCAGUGGAUCAUCGUCCGGGCAGCUUUGCCAGAGAAGCCU